GAUGAACGCUGGCGGCGUGCCUAAUACAUGCAAGUCGAGCGAACGGACGAGAAGCUUGCUUCUCUGAUGUUAGCGGCGGACGGGUGAGUAACACGUGGAUAACCUACCUAUAAGACUGGGAUAACUUCGGGAAACCGGAGCUAAUACCGGAUAAUAUUUUGAACCGCAUGGUUCAAAAGUGAAAGACGGUCUUGCUGUCACUUAUAGAUGGAUCCGCGCUGCAUUAGCUAGUUGGUAAGGUAACGGCUUACCAAGGCAACGAUGCAUAGCCGACCUGAGAGGGUGAUCGGCCACACUGGAACUGAGACACGGUCCAGACUCCUACGGGAGGCAGCAGUAGGGAAUCUUCCGCAAUGGGCGAAAGCCUGACGGAGCAACGCCGCGUGAGUGAUGAAGGUCUUCGGAUCGUAAAACUCUGUUAUUAGGGAAGAACAUAUUUGUAAGUAACUGUGCACAUCUUGACGGUACCUAAUCAGAAAGCCACGGCUAACUACGUGCCAGCAGCCGCGGUAAUACGUAGGUGGCAAGCGUUAUCCGGAAUUAUUGGGCGUAAAGCGCGCGUAGGCGGUUUUUUAAGUCUGAUGUGAAAGCCCACGGCUCAACCGUGGAGGGUCAUUGGAAACUGGAAAACUUGAGUGCAGAAGAGGAAAGUGGAAUUCCAUGUGUAGCGGUGAAAUGCGCAGAGAUAUGGAGGAACACCAGUGGCGAAGGCGACUUUCUGGUCUGUAACUGACGCUGAUGUGCGAAAGCGUGGGGAUCAAACAGGAUUAGAUACCCUGGUAGUCCACGCCGUAAACGAUGAGUGCUAAGUGUUAGGGGGUUUCCGCCCCUUAGUGCUGCAGCUAACGCAUUAAGCACUCCGCCUGGGGAGUACGACCGCAAGGUUGAAACUCAAAGGAAUUGACGGGGACCCGCACAAGCGGUGGAGCAUGUGGUUUAAUUCGAAGCAACGCGAAGAACCUUACCAAAUCUUGACAUCCUUUGACAACUCUAGAGAUAGAGCCUUCCCCUUCGGGGGACAAAGUGACAGGUGGUGCAUGGUUGUCGUCAGCUCGUGUCGUGAGAUGUUGGGUUAAGUCCCGCAACGAGCGCAACCCUUAAGCUUAGUUGCCAUCAUUAAGUUGGGCACUCUAAGUUGACUGCCGGUGACAAACCGGAGGAAGGUGGGGAUGACGUCAAAUCAUCAUGCCCCUUAUGAUUUGGGCUACACACGUGCUACAAUGGACAAUACAAAGGGCAGCGAAACCGCGAGGUCAAGCAAAUCCCAUAAAGUUGUUCUCAGUUCGGAUUGUAGUCUGCAACUCGACUACAUGAAGCUGGAAUCGCUAGUAAUCGUAGAUCAGCAUGCUACGGUGAAUACGUUCCCGGGUCU
rnacentral:rRNA from 1 species